rnacentral:tRNA from 1 species
GCCGUUGUAGCGCAAUGGUAGCGCGUCGCUUUCCUAAGGCGAAGGUUGCGGGUUCGAUCCCCGUCAGCGGUA